rnacentral:misc_RNA from 1 species
GUCCGAAAUUUCAGCAGGUUUACUGCUUACUGCCGCAUGAGUUUAGUUAAACAUGAAUCUACAGAAUUUAUGUUUUGACCUAUUAUUCUAAGUAUAAUAAUGGUUUCAAUACCGUGGACAAUAUUUUUUAUUAUUUAUUUGUUAGUGUAAGUCUUUAAUAAUAUAUUUAACAAAAUAAAUUAAAUGUGAAUAUUUGACUUGUGAAGUGUGAUUUGUGUAGUAAAUUUGUGUGGAUAUGUUUACCACUUUUGGUAAUAUCUUAAAGAAAAAAGCAAUAACGGAAAAUUGCAACGAUGUUUUUAUUAGUGAAUGACUCAUUAAAUAAGGAUUAUGGAUCGAUGGUUUCAGAUACUGACUGCCUUAUAAUGGCAGGGGAGAAAUAUCCAGAGAUAAAGGGCGAGGGCGAAGAACCAACAGGCUAUUAUAAUUAUGGAUUUGACAAGACAGACAUCGAGAAAGAGCUUCCCAAACAGACUGUCAAACAAAUCCAACAUGAAGAAGAGAUACUUAAGUCUGAAAAAUGGUAUAGCAUUCUAACACAAGUUAGCGUUCCUUUCUUCAUAGCUGGUAUAGGUACCAUUGCGGCUGGAACUGUUUUGGCUACUGUAACGACAUACAAAGUAUUUGACGAUAUCAGGGCCUUGUAUGUAUUAGUACCAGCGUUAUUAGGACUAAAAGGAAAUUUGGAUAUGUGCUUGUCAUCAAGACUCUCCACCCGAGCCAACUUAGGACAUAUGGAUGACCGAAGAGAACUACUUAAAAUGGUGGUCGGCAAUAUCGUUUUAGUUCAGAUUCAAGCUAUAGUAGCUUCAUGUAUAGUGUCGGUGUUCGCGACUUCAGCAUCUGCACUAAUAAAUGGAAACUUUCAAUGGAUACAUACUCUGCUGUUAGCUACAGCAAGUACCCUAACGGCAACGAUGUCUUGUUUUAUUUUAGAUAUUUUACUCGUAACUGUGAUCGUAAUAUCGCACAAAAUAAAAUUGAAUCCUGACAACUUAGCAACACCCUUAGCAGCAAGCGUCGGAGACUUGGUUUCUCUGAUUGUUUUGUCCUCGUGGGCUCGAUUAUUGUAUACCAUACAUGAUAAGUAUCCAUGGCUUAUGGGAUUAAUAUUAGGAGGAUAUAUUUUAGUACUCCUACCGCUCUGGAUAUACAUCGUUAAGCGCAAUGAAUAUACCAGAACUAUCUUAACUCAAGGAUGGACUCCAGUUAUUACUGCUUUAUUUAUAAGUGGGACUGGUGGUUUAAUAUUAGAUGUAGGUGUGGAUUCGUUUAAAGGAUACACUGUCUUUCAACCCAUUAUAAAUGGAAUAGGGGGUAAUUUGGUAUCAGUCCAAGUUAGUCGCACAUCGACGAUGCUCCACAAAACAGCAAUUUUUGGUCAAAUGCCAUCAAUAACAAAACAGUUAGUUUGGCCGUGGACGGCUUUAAUUAAAGGAGUUCAUCCUGCAAAGACAGCUCGCCUGCUCAUCCUCUUAUCCAUUCCUGGCCACACAAUAUUUGUCUUCGCCGCAGACUUUUUUUACAAUAAGGAAUCAACAGUUACUCCUACAUUUGUCUUCAUGUACCUGACAGUUGGUCUCAUACAACUAGUAAUCCUUCUUUACGGAUGCCAUCUUCUAGUCCAUACGAUGUGGAGGUUCAAAAGGGAUCCAGACAACUCCGCUAUCCCCUAUUUGACAGCAAUCGGGGAUCUUAGCGGGUCUGGCUUUUUAUUAAUAGGAUUUAUUAUUUUAAGAAGUUUUCAUGCUGAAUAUAAGCCAGUGGUAUGAAAUAUGUACCUAUAGAGCGUUUCACGUUAACAAUUAAUAGAACAUUGCGGAGAUAUUCCCAUGUAUUUCUUAUGGACGAUAAAAGUGCGCCGACACCACGGCGUACUGACUAGAUUGAAUCGUAUAACGGCAGUCGAAUAUCCACACGUGCGCGAGAGGUUUGGCAACACUGAUCUCCGUAAGCGUAAUGUUCUAUUCUUAACGUCAAACAAAGUAUAGGUAUAAAGUCAAAGUGUACACGAAGGUUAGUUUUGCAACGAACCAAGCCAUUGAUGCUCACCAGUGAUAGAACUAAGUACAUAGGAGUCUGUGAGUCUAGUUGUAGUUUAUUUAUUGUGUUAUUAUAUUAUUGACAUACUUGUUAAUUUAUGCAACGAUGAAAAUGUCAAGCUUAAUAGGCCUGGAUCCCGCGUACCAAAAAAAAGUUGAAUAAUCAAGUCCAAUUGAUUUCCUACCCUUUCAUUAAACUCUCAUGCAAAAUCAGACUGGCAUUAUUUAUCACCAACUGGGCAUUUUACACUCAACGAAAAAGUUACGUAAUAUCAAUAAAAAUGUUAAUUCAGACAACAAACGCAAUACUUAAAAUUUGUCCAAUUCUUGGUUUUAUUGGAAC